rnacentral:rRNA from 1 species
AGGUAAAGCAAGAAAGGGCGUAUGGGGAAUGCCUAGGCACACUCCGGCGAAGAAGGACGCAGCAAACAGCGAAAUGCGACGGUGAGCGGUAAGCACGUGAAGAGCCGUCGAUAUCCGAAUGGGGGAACCCACACGGAGUCAUAUCCGUGUAUCACAUGUCGAAUACAUAGACAUGAUGAGGCGAGACGCAGGGAACUGAAACAUCUAAGUACCUGCAGGAAGAGAAAAUAAGAAUGAUUUUCUGAGUAGCGGCGAGCGAAAGGGAAAGAGCCCAAACCGAUUUUAGGAUCGGGGUAGUAGGAUCAUCGAGGAAUCUGACAGAGGAUCAUAGAGGAAUCACAUGGGAAGGUGAGCGAGAGAGGGUGAGAGCCCCGUACUCGAAAUGAGAGACUGGAGAGAGAUGACACCUGAGUAGGGCGGGACACGAGAAAUCCUGUCUGAAUCAGCCGGGACCAUCCGGCAAGGCUAAAUACGAGAGAGUGACCGAUAGUGAACCAGUACCGUGAGGGAAAGGUGAAAAGAACCCCGGGAGGGGAGUGAAAGAGAACCUGAAACCAUAUGCCUACAAGAAGUCAGAGCCCGUUAAAGGGUGAUGGCGUGCCUUUUGUAGAAUGAACCGGCGAGUUACUGUAUGGAGCGAGGUUAAGCAGGAUAUGCGGAGCCGAAGCGAAAGCGAGUCUUAAGAGGGCGCGAGUUGCAUGCAGUAGACCCGAAACCGGGUGAUCUAGCCAUGACCAGGUUGAAGUUGGGGUAAAACCCGAUGGAGGACCGAACCGACCCCCGUUGAAACGUUGGCGGAUGAGUUGUGGCUAGGGGUGAAAUUCCAAUCGAACCCGGAGAUAGCUGGUUCUCCCCGAAAUAGCUUUAGGGCUAGCGUCGAGAGAAGAGUUGCGUGAAGGUAGAGCACUGAAUAUGUGAUGGCCCCAUCUCGGGGUACUGAGCAUAAUCAAACUGCGAAUGUCACGCCAACAUGCUCGGCAGUCAGACAGCGGGUGAUAAGGUCCGUUGUCAAGAGGGAAACAGCCCAGACCAUCAGCUAAGGUCCCAAAAUGUAUGCUAAGUGGAAAAGGAUGUGGAGAUGUACAGACAACUAGGAGGUUGGCUCAGAAGCAGCCAUCCUUUAAAGAGUGCGUAACAGCUCACUAGUCGAAUGACUCUGCGCCGAUAAUUUACCGGGGCUAAGCAUACUACCGAAGCUAUGGAUCCCAAGG